rfam:Schistosoma haematobium scaffold575_57, whole genome shotgun sequence.
AUCCAGCUGACGAGUCCCAAAUAGGACGAAACUCUUAUGCUGGAU